UACGAAGGGAGCUAGCGUUGUUCGGAAUUAUUGGGCGUAAAGAGCUCGUAGGCGGUCUGUCGCGUCGGAUGUGAAAAUCCAGGGCUUAACCCUGGGCCUGCAGUCGAUACGGGCAAACUAGAGUAUUGCAGGGGAGACUGGAAUUCCUGGUGUAGCGGUGAAAUGCGCAGAUAUCAGGAGGAACACCGGUGGCGAAGGCGGGUCUCUGGGCAAUAACUGACGCUGAGGAGCGAAAGCGUGGGGAGCGAACAGG
rnacentral:rRNA from 1 species